rnacentral:rRNA from 1 species
CCUACGGGUGGCAGCAGUGAGGAAUAUUGGUCAAUGGGCGCGAGCCUGAACCAGCCAAGUAGCGUGAAGGAUGAAGGCCCUACGGGUUGUAAACUUCUUUUAUAAAGGAAUAAAGUGAGGCACGUGUGCCUUUUUGUAUGUACUUUAUGAAUAAGGAUCGGCUAACUCCGUGCCAGCAGCCGCGGUAAUACGGAGGAUCCGAGCGUUAUCCGGAUUUAUUGGGUUUAAAGGGAGCGUAGAUGGGUUGUUAAGUCAGUGGUGAAAGUUUGCGGCUCAACCGUAAAAUUGCAAUUGAAACUGGCAGUCUUGAGUAUAGUUGAGGUAGGCGGAAUUCGUGGUGUAGCGGUGAAAUGCUUAGAUAUCACGAAGAACACCGAUUGCGAAGGCAGCUUACUAAACUGUCACUGACGUUGAUGCUCGAAAGUGUGGGGAUCAAACAGGAUUAGAUACCCCAGUAGUC